AUGAACGCUGGCGGCGUGCUUAACACAUGCAAGUCGAACGGGAAUUACUUUAUUGACACUUCGGUCGAUUUAAUUUAAUUCUAGUGGCGGACGGGUGAGUAACGCGUGGGUAACCUGCCUUAUACAGGGGGAUAACAGUCAGAAAUGGCUGCUAAUACCGCAUAAGCGCACAGAGCUGCAUGGCUCGGUGUGAAAAACUCCGGUGGUAUAAGAUGGACCCGCGUUGGAUUAGCUUGUUGGUGGGGUAACGGCCCACCAAGGCGACGAUCCAUAGCCGGCCUGAGAGGGUGAACGGCCACAUUGGGACUGAGACACGGCCCAGACUCCUACGGGAGGCAGCAGUGGGGAAUAUUGCACAAUGGGGGAAACCCUGAUGCAGCGACGCCGCGUGAAGGAAGAAGUAUCUCGGUAUGUAAACUUCUAUCAGCAGGGAAGAUAGUGACGGUACCUGACUAAGAAGCCCCGGCUAACUACGUG
rnacentral:rRNA from 1 species